UGCCAGCCGCCGCGGUAAUACGGAGGGGGUUAGCGUUGUUCGGAAUUACUGGGCGUACAGCGCACGUAGGCGGAUUAGAAAGUUAGAGGUGAAAUCCCGGGGCUCAACCCCGGAACUGCCUUUAAAACUACUAGUCUAGAGUUCGAGAGAGGUGAGUGGAAUUCCGAGUGUAGAGGUGAAAUUCGUAGAUAUUCGGAGGAACACCAGUGGCGAAGGCAGUUCACUGGACCGAUUUUGACGCUGAGGCGCGAAAGCGUGGGGAGCAAACAGGAUUAGAUA
rnacentral:rRNA from 1 species